GUUUGACACUCCUGUUCUAUGAGGUCAGAUCUUGCACAUGAGACGGUUCCAUCAUCAAACAUUCCUCACAUCCAGAUGUCCGAGCUGAUGAGCGCCCCUGAACAGAAAGCUGCAGGAGACAGAGGAUGCUGGGGGGUCCCAUGGUGUGGUGGGGGCAGAAGUGCAGUGUUGGAGGGCAGCUGUCUCCCAGUUGGUGUUUUAAUUCCCAGCAGCGCCCCCAGUCACGUGUUCACAUGUCACAAUGUGUACUAGAACCUGAACCCUAUUAUUAUAUUAUUAUUAUUUUGUCAAUUUUGUCACUCCAAUCAUUUUUUGAUCUAUUGUAAAAAUGUUUCCAUUAAAAGUUUUUAGCCCAAAUUUAAAAAAAAGUAGUUUUCUAGGACAUAGUUUCUGCAGAGCCACAGGAAUUCAUCAGAAAUUCACCCCUAAAUUGUGGGCAGGACCAUUGGCAUGGAGCAACCCCGCCCCCAUUUCCCAUCCCCUUUGAAAAAAGAGCUAGUAGCCAGCCCAAUUCUACCCCGCAAUUACUCUCUUUUUCAAUUUUUUGUUCUCCUGAUUAUCAACAUUUUUAAAGAUCCCUUGUGUUUCUUCAAGAUAAUCAAGUGUAAAUUAAAUAUGUGAACAAACAAACAUGUAAACAAGAAUGAAUACAGAUUUUUCUCUCAAUGCCUUCUGUCUGCUCAGUACGAUAUGUUGGUCAUCCCUCCAUCCAUCAUCCAUCCAUCCAUCCAUCCACCAGCCUGUUACAGGACCAUCAUUCAUACUGACCAAUAAUAUACAAAUACAUGAAUCUGCAGCAGUCGUGGUGCAGUGGUAGAGCGGUCAACCUAUGAUUGGAAGGUUUGUUUCCUGCUUUGCCUACCAAUGUGUUGAAGUGUCACCAUUACUGAGUCACAAGAACUGUGAAGUGAAAGGAAGGGAAAAAUAGCACCAUAAAUGUGUUGUAAUCCAUGUAAUCUGGAUUACUGGACUGAGUUGGAUCAUACUGAAUGAAGCUUUUAGCUUUUGUGUUCCAUUUGUGUAGCAUGGGAACCGGAUCUUAACAAACAAACUGAAUUUGAUUAAAUGAUGUGGAGAGCUCCGAGUCAAGGUCGCUGUCCUCCUUCAUGUCAGGAAGUAGCAGGAAGCUGUGGAUUGGUGUGGAUUCUUCAGUCCAGAGCUGUCACUGCCCUCACUCAGACCCCCCUAAAAAGAAAAGAAAAAAACAGAAAAGAAAAGCCCAAAUUUAGAAGAAAAAUGAACCAACAGUCAAACUUCUCCGAGACGCCAUGGCCUCCUCAUUUCUCUCUCCGAUCUUUCCACUCCCCUUUUGCCCCAUCAUUCUAACCCCCCCACCCUAAACUCUUCCCUUCCUGUUAAGUCCACUUCCCUUCUCCUCCUGUCUUUGCUCUGGUUCUGUGUCUCCUGAAAUGCUUCCACGUCACUGUUGGAGCUGCUCUUCUCCUUCAUCGUCGGCCAAUCAGUCAGGUCUGAAAGUGGGGGGUGGGGGGAGCUUCCCAGCAGCCAGACCCACCCUGCAGCGACCAUACAAGGUAAGAGUGGAGAGCCCGGCCGGUCUGCUUCAUAAAUCAGAGUCCUGCAUGGGGCGAAGCCUCACUGAGCAUCUCCUCAUCCUCCGCUGCAGAUGAAGACCCUGAAGGUGGACACGUGGAGAGCGAGCUGUCCUGUGGAAUGAAGAUGAUGGCCAGACGGAGAGCGAUGGAGAGAGUUCCUGAGGACCUUUGGAGCCCAGAGGAAGCAGACUUCAGUCCAUAUUAGAUACAUUCAGGAGCUCAGAGGAUGAAUACAUGCAACCUUCUAUACUGCAGGUCCAGCCACAGCGGUGCCUUCUGGUUCUGGUCCAUCUCUGCUGCCCAUGGUGCAGUGCUGCAUCUCUGGUCAGUUGAUAGUCUGAGAUGAAGCACUGUAGCUCGGGACGGAGGGCAGGAGUCUCAAUCUAAGCAAAUCCAGAGCCUCUACCUGCCUCCAAGCCUAAAGGAAGACUUCAGUGAAGAUCUCUGUGAACCUGAACCUGGUGGCUGACGAGCUUUCUCCUCCUCUCUCCUGGGGUCCAGUUUUCCCAGGAAUCCCUUGGGCUGUCAAAAAGGGGGAUUCCUGGAAAUACUGAUCUUGGGGGCGGGGCUUAUCCUAACCUCAUGUGGUUGUCAGGAAGCUGACAGCUGGAGAAGAAGAUCCAAACAGCAGUCAGGUGACCACUCCAAGAGUGAAGUUCCACUGGUUUGGUGCAGUCAUUUUUAAGAGAAAAAACACAAAUAAAAGAUUUAAAAACUCUG